GGUUCGAUCCUGCCCAGAUUGAACGCUGGCGGAUGUUUACGGCAUGCAAGUCGAACGGCAGCACGGACUUCGGUCUGGUGGCGAGUGGCGAACGGGUGAGUAAUGUAUCGGAACGUGCCUAGUAGCGGGGGAUAACCAUGCUGCAGCCACACCGCAUACGGCCCUUCGGGGGAAAGCGGGGACCUUCGGGCCUGGCACUAUUAGAGCGGCCGAUAAUGGAUUAGCUAGCGGGGUAACGGUCACUCAAGGCGACGAUCCGUAGCUGGUUUGAGAGGACGACCAGCCACACUGGGGACUGGGAGACACGGCCCAGACUCCUACGGGAGGCAGCAGUGGGGAAUUUUGACAAUGGGGAAACUCCCGAUCCAGCCAUCCCGCGUGUGCGAUGAAGGCCGGGUUGUAAAGCACUUUUGGCAGGAAAGAAAACGGCACGGGAUAAUACCCCGUGCAACUGACGGUACCUGCAGAAUAAGCACUGGCUAACUACGCCAGCAGCCGCGGUAAUACGUAGGGUGCAAGCGUUAAUCGGAAUUACUGGGCGUAAAGCGUGCGCAGGCGGUUCGGAAAGAAAGAUGAAACUCAGAGCUAACUUUGGAACUGCAUUUUUAACUACCGAGCUAGAGUGUGCUUGAGGGAGGUGGAAUUCCGCGUGUAGCAGUGAAAUGCGUAGAUAUGCGGAGGAACACCGAUGGCGAAGGCAGCCUCCUGGGAUAACACUGACGCUCAUGCACGAAAGCGUGGAGAAACAGGAUUAGAUACCCUGGUAGUCCACGCCCUAAACGAUGUCAACUAGCUGUUUAGCUUCGGCCUUGGUAGCGCAGCUAACGCGUGAAGUUGACCGCCUGGGGAGUACGGUCGCAAGAUUAAAACUCAAAGGAAUUGACGGGGACCCGCACAAGCGGUGGAUGAUGUGGAUUAAUUCGAUGCAACGCGAAAAACCUUACCUACCCCUUGACAUGUCUGGAAUCCCGAAGAGAUUUGGGAGUAAGCCGUAAGAGAACCGGAACACAGGUGCUGCAUGGCUGUCGUCAGCUCGUGUCGUGAGAUGUUGGGUUAAGUCCCGCAACGAGCGCAACCCUUGUCAUUAGUUGCUACGAAAGGCACUCUCAUCGAGACUGCCGGUGACAAACCGAGGAAGGUGGGGAUGACGUCAAGUCCUUAUGGCCCUUAUGGGUAGGGCUUCUCACACGUCAUACAAUGGUCGGGACAGAGGUCGCCAACCCGCGAGGGGGAGCAAUCCCAGAAACCCGAUCGUAGUCCGGAUCGGGUAGUCUGCAACUCGACUGCGUGAAGUCGGAAUCGCUAGUAAUCGCGGAUCAGCAUGUCGCGGUGAAUACGUUCCCGGGUCUUGUACACACCGCCUGUCACACCAUGGGAGUGGGUUUUACCAGAAGUAGUUAGCCUAACCGUAAGGAGGGCGAUUACCACGGUAGGAUUCAUGACUGGGGUGAAGUCGUAACAAGGUAA
rnacentral:rRNA from 1 species